rnacentral:rRNA from 1 species
GUAGGUGGCAAGCGUUGUCCGGAAUUAUUGGGCGUAAAGCGCGCGCAGGCGGUCCUUUAAGUCUGAUGUGAAAGCCCACGGCUCAACCGUGGAGGGUCAUUGGAAACUGGGGGACUUGAGUACAGAAGAGGAAAGCGGAAUUCCAAGUGUAGCGGUGAAAUGCGUAGAGAUUUGGAGGAACACCAGUGGCGAAGGCGGCUUUCUGGUCUGUAACUGACGCUGAGGCACGAAAGCGUGGGGAGCAAACAGGGAUUAGAUACCCUGGUAGUCCACGCCGUAAACGAUGAGUGCUAAGUGUUAGGGGGUUUCCCGCCCCCUUAGUGCUGCAGCUAACGCAUUAAGCACUCCGCCUGGGGAGUACGGCCGCAAGGCUG